AAGUUAUUGGGGUUGGUUAAUAGGGACUGGUAGCAGCCAGGGACUACAGUUAGGUCUUGGGGGUUGGUUAAUAGGGACGUAGCAGGGACUACAGUUAGGUCUUGGGGGUUGGUUAAUAGGGACUGGUAGCAGCCAGGGACUACAGUUAGGUCUUGGGGGUUGGAUAAUAGGGACUGGUAGCAGCCAGGGACUACAGUUAGGUCUUGGGGGUUGGUUAAUAGGGACUGGUAGCAGCCAGGGACUACAGUUAGGUCUUGGGGGUUGGAUAAUAGGGACUGGUAGCAGCCAGGGACUACAGUUAGGUCUUGGGGGUUGGUUAAUAGGGACUGAUAGCAGCCAGGGACUACAGUUAGGUCUUGGGGGUUGGUUAAUAGGGACUGGUAGCAGCCAGGGACUACAGUUAGGUCUUGGGGGUUGGAUAAUAGGGACUGGUAGCAGCCAGGGACUACAGUUAGGUCUUGGGGGUUGGUUAAUAGGGACUGGUAGCAGCCAGGGACUACAGUUAGGUCUUGGGGGUUGGUUAAUAGGGACUGGUAGCAGCCAGGGACUGCAGUUAGGUCUUGGGGGUUGGUUAAUAGGGACUGGUAGCAGCCAGGGACUACAGUUAGGUCUUGGGGGUUGGUUAAUAGGGACUGGUAGCAGCCAGGGACUACAGUUAGGUCUUGGGGGUUGGUUAAUAGGGACUGGUAGCAGCCAGGGACUACAGUUAGGUCUUGGGGGUUGGUUAAUAGGGACUGGCAGCAGCCAGGGA
rnacentral:lncRNA from 1 species